GUACUUACUCCUACGGGAGGCAGCAGUAGGGAAUCUUCGGCAAUGGGGGCAACCCUGACCGAGCAACGCCGCGUGAGUGAAGAAGGUUUUCGGAUCGUAAAACUCUGUUGUUAGAGAAGAACGUUAAGUAGAGUGGAAAAUUACUUAAGUGACGGUAUCUAACCAGAAAGGGACGGCUAACUACGUGCCAGCAGCCGCGGUAAUACGUAGGUCCCAAGCGUUGUCCGGAUUUAUUGGGCGUAAAGCGAGCGCAGGUGGUUUCUUAAGUCUGAUGUAAAAGGCAGUGGCUCAACCAUUGUGUGCAUUGGAAACUGGGAGACUUGAGUGCAGGAGAGGAGAGUGGAAUUCCAUGUGUAGCGGUGAAAUGCGUAGAUAUAUGGAGGAACACCGGAGGCGAAAGCGGCUCUCUGGCCUGUAACUGACACUGAGGCUCGAAAGCGUGGGGAGCAAACAGGAUUAGAAACCCCGGUAGUCCAGGCAU
rnacentral:rRNA from 1 species